UCUGAAAGUCUUAUAUAGCCAGACACCCAUCUUCUUCUAAAGAACUUCAAGCAGCCUAGAGUGUAACACAUCUGGAGAACAUCAGCCUUCAGCCAUGAAGACCCUUUUCCUUGUGUUUGCUGCUCUCUUGUUCUUCAGUCAAAUUAUUCCAGGAAGUUCUCAGCCUGCCCCUGAUACCUUAGAAUGCAGGAGGAGUCACUAUGGGUUCUGUAAAAGAUACUACUGCCCUGGGCGCACUAUACCUACUGGAGGGACAUGUCAGUGGGGAUCCCUGCUUUGCUGUAAAUCUCCUUAUAGCCAUAGAAGGUGGUAACCAACUCAACCACAGAGAAAGCAACACUUCUGGAUUCUAGAAAAAUACAUGCCGGAUUUGGAAAUUGGUGGCUUCAGCUUCCAAGUCAAGAAUAAAGAGUUGUUGUUUGGACUAUAAACAGACAUAAUGUUCAUACUCCUCUCCGCCCUCUCCUCCCCUUUUUACACUUAUUCAUGUUUCGACUUAAGGGCAAGUUUCCCGAAAAUAUUAAGUAACCAGCUAGAGUUCUCUACACAGAAUUUUGGAAAUGAAAGUUAAUCCUAAAUUAAGAAAUAAUUAGGGAAAUUUUAGAAAUAGUCUGUAAUAUCAAAAAGUAAAGUUUAUGGAUAUUUUAAACAAAGAGAGGCAAAAAAAUAUUUUAUUUUAUUUAUAUUUUAUUUUAGUCAAGCAUGUAUUUUAUGACAGAUACAAGUGUAAACAUAAUUAUAAAUACAUGAAAAGGAUACGAAUAAAAGAAAACAUUAGGACAGGGAUGUUAGGCACGCUGGUGUGCUCAUGCACCAAGUUUUUACUUGCCUUUCUGGAAUUCUGUGGAAGAAAUUUACAUUUUUACUUACAAAAGGUAAAUUACAGAGCUAGUAUAAUCUAUUCUUAUAUGCAUGAAAAUAUCUCAUUUAAAGACUUGCACAAUUAUGCACCUUCUGCUUCAUUUACAUAUACUUGUUUCUUGUGCCUUCCAUCUUUUUUCCCCUCAAAAGUUUUUUAAAUCUAUCAACUCUCUUUCUAAAGAUUUUUAAAGAGAAAAAUAAAAACUAAUAGAAACUCAUUUCAAGUAUGAAAAAAGGAAAAAGAAAUGAAUAAAAGAAAAACCUAAAAGUGCAAGAAAGAAAAAAAACUAAAACAGAGAUGAUAGAAAAGAGAAACAAAGAAAUAAUUUCUAACCUCCUUUAUAGUAGUUAUAAGUACAAUUAUAUAAUUGCCUCUUACUUUAUCGUUACAAUAUGUCUCUCUUCUUUCUAGAAUCUAUCCUGUCUAAUCAUCCAACCUAAAAAGGUCUCUAGUCAGCAAUAAACAUGAGUAUGUCUUUUCUCUGAUCAAUUUCAGGCAUGCCCAUUUUAGAAAAAAUCACCCAUGAGAGUUUGAACAUAAAAAAAAAAUACUUUAUGCAUUUGCACUGAGUGGUAUCUCCUUUUUUUCUAUUAAUAUUCCUUAGUCUUGUAAAAUGUUACUAACAAACACAAAUAAAAUACAGAUCUUAAAGCAAA